UCAAUGAAGCUCCUCUCUGCCUUGCUCACCCUCCACUUGUCCGUGUACCUCAUUCUUGUCGUGGAACAAGACCCUGGGACCCAGUGAAUGGUGGGACUGAAAGAGCGGUAACACAAACAGGGCUGAAACAUGCCCACCGCUCGCCACUUUGUGGGCGACGAGGAGAAACGAACUGCUGUGGCCCUUCAGGAAUCCCAGACCUAGAGACUCCUGAGCCAGGGCUGUGACACCCUCUUUGGGGCUCCGCAGUUUCUGGUGUCUCCAAGCUUCCGGGUGCCAUCGUAUUUCCCAGUGCCUGCAGUGGAAGCCAUUUGUGGUAACGCCUGGUCCAGCCAGUCUCACACGGAACCCACGCCUGUGCUGGCGCCUGGAGCUGCCUGCCCAGUGGCAGCAAGCACGCAUGGCUGUGUGCAGUGGCCAGACCCCAUGCUUAUUAACACACCCCUUGCUACUCCUCACCAGGCUCGCCCUUGGCAGGUGUGGGAUCCAGGUCAGUAUUAUGAGCCAAAUACAGCCUGCUGGGGCGAGUGAGCAGAAGAGGCCAGCGGGCCCGUGUAAAACUCAGGCAAAGGCACCACCAGCCGCAGAGGUUUCCAACUGAAAAAGUGACACGGUUUGAUCUUCGCAGUGGCCUGUGGCUAAGACUGAUAUUAAAGGAAGAAUUAAAAUCCUGAAUCAAUCAUGAACUUUAAAGUUAAGAUGAAUUCAAGGAUAUCAAACUUGACUGCAUAAGAGAGUAUCAUGUUUGGAGAGAAGAAAUAAUUUUAUUGCGAGACACAAAGUGGUGUCUGUCACUUAAAUCCUUCACCAAUCUACCUCCUGUACUCGUGGAAAAAAAGGAAUCAGGAAGAGAGCAGCAGAAACCCAGGGGUUACCUGAGGAUAAUUUAGGUCUUUAUUAUGUACAUUCUCAGCUCACCACUGUGCAGAAUUGGUAUGGAAAUCAAUUCAGAUAAGGAACAUACAACUCUGGAGAACUGACUAAAUGUUGUUUUACUAAGAAAAAUGUGAUCACAUCACUUUUCUACCUAAAUUUCUUCAAAAUUUCUACAAAGCUCUGAGAAUAAAACUCUCUCAGCAUAGCUAGCAAGACGAUGCAUGAUCUUCCUAGCUACCUACUAGGCCGUCCUUAUCUCAAACCUCUGCCCCUUAAGCUCCAUCUGAGAAUACCAGUCUUCUUUUAGUCUCUCUUGUAUGUUAUUUGUCUUAUCUUUUGCUGCUUUCAGAACUUUUUCUUUGUCCUAAUUUUUUUAUAGUUUGAUUACUUUGUGCUGUGGCUAAUUCCAAAAAAGGUUAAAUUUGAUUGGAGAACUCUGGCCUUCCUAUAUCUGGAUAUUGGCAUCUUUUCCCAGAUUUGGGAAGUUUUCAACCAUUAUUUAUUUAAAUUUGCCUUUUCCUUCUGAAAUUCUUAUACAAAAAUUAAGUCUCCUAAUAGUGUCCCAUAUUAUCAAAAGCUUUCUUUGUUCUUUUUAUUUUUUUUCCUUUUGAUUCUUCUGACUGGAUAAUUUCAUAUGUUCUGUCUUCCAGCUGAUACUUCUGCUCGAUUGAGCUUGUCAAUGAAGCUUUCUCUUGCAUGUUUUUAGUUCAAUCAUUUCAAUCUUCAUCUCUAGAAUUUCUAUUUGUGUUUUUUUAAUUGUUUCUAUUUCUUUGUUGAAUUUCUCAUUUGUGCAUGUAUUGUAUUCCAAAGCGCACUUAAUUUUUUUUCCAUAUGUUUUUGUAGUUCACUAAACUUCAGGAGGAUUAUUCUGAAUUCUUUGUUAUUUUGGAGAGUUUCAUUACUUCAGGGUCAGUCACUGGACUUUUGCUAUAUUCUUUUGGAGGUGUCGUGAUUUCUUCAGUUUUUAUACUCCUGUUUCCUUGUGUUGGUGUCUGCAUAUUUGAGGAAACAACCAUCUCUUCAGGCUUUUUCAGAUGUUCCUUGGCAGGAAUAGCCUUCUCUAUUUAGCCUACAAUUCUAGUUGGGCCAGUUGGUAAUAACCCUGGGCAGGCAGGGCUUUCUUUUUGGUUCCCUAGAUAGUUGUGCCACUGCCUUUGCUCUCAUUGGAUGCAGCUGCUGGCUGAGUUUUGCUCUCAGCCAAAACUGCUAGCUGAGCUCUGCAAUCAUGUGGAGCUCAUAGCUGGUCACUGCAAUCACCUCUGACUGAGUGAGGCUACAGGGUGUAUUCUCUGGCCAGGUGGUACUGCUAUUUGAGAUCUGCAGUUUGAUAGAGUUCUAAGGCCUUACAGUUAGGGAAUGUCACUACUUGGAUGGAUGAGAUGAGCUGCUGUGCUCAGUAGAAAUGCACAGUUGAGGUUUACAAACCUGCCUAGGUAGGACUUACUGCUGGGCUAUAAGGCUGAGCUAAGCACAUUUAAACUCCAGGAUGUGACCAAACUAACCCAUGCUCUUUGCUGAAAUGUACAAUGGUGGUCAUCUCCUUUCCUGAGUGAGGUCUUGAGGUCUAUUUAAACUCCAAGAUAUCAGAACUCGCCCCUGCUUUUGACAAAUUGCUUUGCAGCAAACAAUUAUUUCCUGCAAAGGGCCUUGAGUAAAGUUUGAAGAUGGGCCUUGAGGCUGGCAGUCUAGGAAUUCAAGCCAGUUAGAACUUCCCACUACUUCUGGGAGUGAUCAUCUCAGCUUUGUAGAUGUGCUAGGCUGCUGGUUGUCAUCUUAGAUUAGGUACCACCAUAGGCAGUUACACUGAGCUACCUACCACUGGGGCCUGUGAGCUGGCUGAUGUGAACUCCACCUCUUUGCUUUGUUUUUACCUGAUUUCAGGUGGUCUAGCCCUGUCAUUAACUCCUCGGUUCCUCAUAAAGUGAGAUAGGAGUGAGCUCCCUGGGAAACAUCUGGAAACACUACGGAAGCUGGAUGUCUGCUUCCAGUUCUCUUUCCCACUGAAAAAGCCUUGAGCCCUUGGAAAUCCUCUCUGGGACUGUGCCAACUUUGGUGAGAGAGAAGGGUGGUGUGGUUAAAAAGACCAUUUAUUCUCUUACCCUUUCUUGCAGAGUUUAUUCAGUUCCAUGGUCCACACAGGUAUCUCAGGCUUAUUCCUGAGUUUUUGGGUUUCCACAGGUAUGUUCUUGAUUGUGGGUAAUUGCUCGUUGAAAUUUCUGUGGGAGGUAAUGAAACUUGAGAUGUCUUAUUUUGCCAACCUGUUCCAAACAUUUAUUCAUUUUUGUAAAAAUUACAUUUAGGAUUUUAACUUUCUUCUUUUCUCUCUCCUUCCCUGCAUUCCUGCCGUCCAACCUUUUCUUGGGUGUUAAAAAAAUACUGAUAUGAACAAUGUAGUAUAUUUCUCUUUGCCUACAUAUGUAUGUCUGGAUAAUAUAAGAUGUAUGACCAUCUUUAAUUUUUUAAAGAAUUAUUUAUAUUACUGUCUAAAGUCACUGGACCAGUUCAUAAUUUCCUUAGCAGAAUAAAAGGGGUGAUUUUUUCUCAGCAUCUUUGUUAACACUUAGUAUGAAAUGUUAUUACUAGGUUUUUAGUGACAUUCUCCUGAUUCUAGAAAAUUCUAUCUCAUUUCAAAUGAUUAUUAGGCUUUUCUAUGAAUUGCCCAAUUUAAUAUUUUGCUUGUUUACUGUGUUAACUUGUGUUAAUGUUUAGCUUUCAAUGCAUACUGAAUACAAAUUCUUGCAAAUAUCUCUAAGUCUGAGAUUAUAUUUUAGCUUUCUGGUACAUUUUUAGGAAGAGAAAUUGUUCAUUA
rnacentral:lncRNA from 1 species